rnacentral:lncRNA from 1 species
UAAUAAUAAUAAUAAUAAUAAUAAUAAUAAUAAUAAUAAUAUGUUUCAUUAUUGUUAUUAUUAUUGUUAUUAUUAUUUUUUAUCUGUUGCAUUGAUGACUAUCAGUAGUGUUAUAUAUGUCUUUUUGACCACCUGUGCAGAUCCAUCUGUAUCUUUUCACAGAACUGUCUGGUGAUUCUGAUGUUUGUUUCUUCGACAACAUAUCAAGGUCAGACACACAGUUGUUGACUAGGUCUUCAACAGACAGAGAGGAUACAAAAACUCAGCCCUCCUUGCCACCUUAGGACAUACUGCUGUAUUUUAUUGCUCAACUGGGAAUAGUAAAAGGAGAAAAGGACUGGUGGAAGUUCAGGAGCCUGAGGAUCAACAUGAAGGAAACCAUCUUAAACCCAGAGCAAGAAACAUAAAUUCACUUGGCUGUCCCUUAUCUCUAAGGCACCUGAUGCGUAAGUGGACUAGAGAAAGGAAAGAAAGAACAACUCUAAAGACCUACAGAUCAUCUUGCUGGAAGGGUGAGUAAAUGCACCUGAGUCUCAGUUUUGCAUUAGAUACACAACAAAUGAACCUGUUUUUAGAGGUGCCUCAGGAAUUUCCUCUCCAUUAUUUUUUGAGAAAAAGAUUAUAAAAUUUUCCCCCAUUUCCAGUUGUCUCACAUGUGUGUAGAAGUAUAAAGACAGACACCUCCUAUAUUUUCAGUUUAAGCCUAGAACAUUGAUUUAAUACAGUUUUUGGGUUUUUUUUUGUUUGUUUGUUUCUUUUUGGUUUGGUUUUGCUACGUAGUACU